GAUGAACGCUGGCGGCGUGCUUAACACAUGCAAGUCGAACGAAGCACUUUAUUUGAUUUCCUUCGGGACUGAUUAUUUUGUGACUGAGUGGCGGACGGGUGAGUAACGCGUGGGUAACCUGCCUUGUACAGGGGGAUAACAGUUGGAAACGGCUGCUAAUACCGCAUAAGCGCACAGCAUCGCAUGAUGCAGUGUGAAAAACUCCGGUGGAAUAAGAUGGACCCGCGUUGGAUUAGCUAGUUGGUGAGGUAACGGCCCACCAAGGCGACGAUCCAUAGCCGAUCUGAUAGGAUGACCGGCCACACUGGGACUGAGACACGGCCCAAACUCCUACGGGAGGCAGCAGUGGGGAAUAUUGCACAAUGGGCGAAAGCCUGAUGCAGCGACGCCGCGUGAGCGAAGAAGUAUUUCGGUAUGUAAAGCUCUAUCAGCAGGGAAGAUAAUGACGGUACCUGACUAAGAAGCUCCGGCUAACUACGUG
rnacentral:rRNA from 1 species